AGUGAACGCUGGCGGUAGGCCUAACACAUGCAAGUCGAACGGCAGCACAGUAAGAGCUUGCUCUUACGGGUGGCGAGUGGCGGACGGGUGAGGAAUACAUCGGAAUCUACUUUUUCGUGGGGGAUAACGUAGGGAAACUUACGCUAAUACCGCAUACGACCUACGGGUGAAAGCAGGGGAUCUUCGGACCUUGCGCGAUUGAAUGAGCCGAUGUCGGAUUAGCUAGUUGGCGGGGUAAAGGCCCACCAAGGCGACGAUCCGUAGCUGGUCUGAGAGGAUGAUCAGCCACACUGGAACUGAGACACGGUCCAGACUCCUACGGGAGGCAGCAGUGGAGAAUAUUGGACAAUGGGCGCAAGCCUGAUCCAGCCAUACCGCGUGGGUGAAGAAGGCCUUCGGGUUGUAAAGCCCUUUUGUUGGGAAAGAAGAGCAGCAGGUUAAUACCCCGCUGUUCUGACGGUACCCAAAGAAUAAGCACCGGCUAACUUCGUG
rnacentral:rRNA from 1 species